rnacentral:rRNA from 1 species
CUCCCGCCGGCGACCGGCGCACGGGUGAGUAACACGUAUGAAACCUGCCCGCAGCAGGGGGAUAAGCGGAAGAAAUUCCGUCUAAUACCGCGUAACAACCCGAGGAGGCAUCUCCUCGGGUUUAAAGGAAGCGAUUCCGGCUACGGAUGGUCAUGCGUCGCAUUAGCUAGUUGGCGGGGUAACGGCCCACCAAGGCGACGAUGCGUAGGGGUUCUGAGAGGAAGGUCCCCCACACUGGUACUGAGACACGGACCAGACUCCUACGGAAGGCAGCAG